GAUGCGGCAAAUUUUAAUAUUGAUGGUCAUUAUCCAGUGAGGGAGUUGUGGGAUCGUGCUAGAAGCUGCUGGACCAAAAUCUUAACUCACGAAAGCAGGUCUGUUCUUGUGGUUGCUCACAAUGCUGUUAAUCAGGCCCUCGUUGCAACAGCGAUUGGCUUAGGCACCGAGUAUUUCAGGAUUUUACUGCAGAGCAAUUGUGGUGUGACUGUGCUGGAUUUCACCCCACGACUAGAGGGUGGGUCUCCAUAUAUAUGUCUUAAUCGCUUAAAUCAGACCCCAAAUUCACCUAUUGCAGCUGGAAGUUCUGGAGGCAGAAAAACCAGUAAUCGGAUAAUUCUUGUUUGUCAUGGAUCCUCACAGAGCGGCUCAGAGGUAUGAAAUGAUGUUUAAUGAGAGCCAAGUGGUUUUGUGUAUGACAUUCAUAUUAAUUUAUUUUGUGGUUGUGUAAGCAAAAUUAUGAAUGUGAGUUUCUUUCUUUUUCGUUUGCA